rnacentral:lncRNA from 1 species
UCAUCUGUUGAUGGACACUUAGGUUGCUUCCAAAUGUACCUCAGUUUGGUUAAACCGUUCACUUACUGAAGGACAUUUUGGUUGUUUCUAGUUUUGCUCUAUUAUAAGUAAAUCUGACAGGAACGUUUGUGUACAGGUUUUUGUGUGAGCAUAUGUUUUUGUUUAUUGAGGAUAAUUAUCAUAUACUAUUGCUGGAUCAUAUGCAAAUUUGUUUUGUUUUGUUUGAGACAGAGUUUCACUCUUGUUGCCCAGGCUGGAAUGAAAUGGCAUGAUCUCGGCUCACUGCAGCCUCUGCCUCCUGGGUUCAAGUGAUUCUCCUACCUCAGUCUCCCGAGUAGCUUGGAUUACAGGCAUGCACCAACCAAGCCCGGCUAAUUUUUUGUAUUUUUAGUAGAGAUGCAGUUUCUCCAUGUUGGUCAGGCUGGUCUUGAACUCCCGACCUCAGGUGAUCCAUCCACCUUGGCCUCCCAAAGUGCUGAGAUUACAGGCGUGAGCCACCACUCCCAGCCAUAAAUGUAAUUUUUUCUUUUUUAAUAAACACUAAUUUCCUAGAGUAAUUUCCUAGAGUAGCUGUACCAUUUUAUAAUCCCACCAGCAGUAUAUGAGAGAUCCAGUUUUUCCACAUCCUGGUCCUUUUGGUAGUGGCGUUAUUGUUUUGUUUUGUUUUGUUUUUAUUUUUAGCUGUUCUAAUAGGCGUGCUGCGAUAUCUCAUCAUGGGCUUAAUUGGCAUUUACCUAAUGGCUGGUGAUGUUGAGCAACUUUUCAUGUGCUUAUUUUCCAUCUGUACAUUUUCUUUGGUGAAAUGUCUCUUUAUAUCUUUUGCCCAUUUCUAAUUAGAUUUUUAGAAUUUAGCUUGUUUUAGCUGCUAAGUUUUUGCCUUUUUUUUUUUUAGCUGUUAAGUUUUAAGGAUUCUUUAUGUAUUCUAGACAGUACUUCUUUGUCCGAUACGUGGUUUUUUUCCUAGACUAUAGCUUAUCUUUUUUUUUUAAAUGGUUUUUUCUUUUCUUUUCCCAGACAUUCAGCAGUCUUGUCUUAUUUAUCCUAUUAAAAGGAUCUUUUACAGAGCAAAAGCUUUUAAUAUUAAUGAAAUCAAAUUUGUCAAUAUUUCUUUUAUGGAUUGUGCUUUUGGUACAUUAUGAAAUUUCUUUUUAAAUGCCCUGUAAUUAUA